ensembl:snoRNA Gm24709 small nucleolar RNA SNORA17
CUUGUCCCUAGAGGAAUUGCAGGUGUGGCUGCUGUGUCGCAUGGGCGUCAGUAGGUGGCCAAGAGGAGAGAGGCUGUGUGUAUGUUCAGUGUUCUGAUCUGUGAACAUCUGAAUAAGUAGCUUAACAUA